GAUGAACGCUGGCGGCGUGCCUAACACAUGCAAGUCGAGCGAUUUACUUCGGUAAAGAGCGGCGGACGGGUGAGUAACGCGUGGGUAACCUGCCCUGUACACACGGAUAACAUACCGAAAGGUAUGCUAAUACGAGAUAAUAUACUUUUAUCGCAUGGUAGAAGUAUCAAAGCUUUUGCGGUACAGGAUGGACCCGCGUCUGAUUAGCUAGUUGGUAAGGUAACGGCUUACCAAGGCGACGAUCAGUAGCCGACCUGAGAGGGUGAUCGGCCACAUUGGAACUGAGACACGGUCCAAACUCCUACGGGAUGCAGCAGUGGGGAAUAUUGCACAAUGGGCGAAAGCCUGAUGCAGCAACGCCGCGUGAGCGAUGAAGGCCUUCGGGUCGUAAAGCUCUGUCCUCAAGGAAGAUAAUGACGGUACUUGAGGAGGAAGCCCCGGCUAACUACGUGCCAGCCGCCGCGGUAAGAC
rnacentral:rRNA from 1 species